GACGAACGCUGGCGGCGUGCUUAACACAUGCAAGUCGAACGGAAAGGCCCUGCUUUUGUGGGGUGCUCGAGUGGCGAACGGGUGAGUAACACGUGAGUAACCUGCCCUUGACUUUGGGAUAACUUCAGGAAACUGGGGCUAAUACCGGAUAGGAGCUCCUGCUGCAUGGUGGGGGUUGGAAAGUUUCGGCGGUUGGGGAUGGACUCGCGGCUUAUCAGCUUGUUGGUGGGGUAGUGGCUUACCAAGGCUUUGACGGGUAGCCGGCCUGAGAGGGUGACCGGCCACAUUGGGACUGAGAUACGGCCCAGACUCCUACGGGAGGCAGCAGUGGGGAAUAUUGCACAAUGGGCGGAAGCCUGAUGCAGCAACGCCGCGUGCGGGAUGACGGCCUUCGGGUUGUAAACCGCUUUCGCCUGUGACGAAGCGUGAGUGACGGUAAUGGGUAAAGAAGCACCGGCUAACUACGUGCCAGCAGCCGCGGUGAUACGUAGGGUGCGAGCGUUGUCCGGAUUUAUUGGGCGUAAAGGGCUCGUAGGUGGUUGAUCGCGUCGGAAGUGUAAUCUUGGGGCUUAACCCUGAGCGUGCUUUCGAUACGGGUUGACUUGAGGAAGGUAGGGGAGAAUGGAAUUCCUGGUGGAGCGGUGGAAUGCGCAGAUAUCAGGAGGAACACCAGUGGCGAAGGCGGUUCUCUGGGCCUUUCCUGACGCUGAGGAGCGAAAGCGUGGGGAGCGAACAGGCUUAGAUACCCUGGUAGUCCACGCUGUAAACGGUGGGUACUAGGUGUGGGGUCCAUUCCACGGGUUCCGUGCCGUAGCUAACGCUUUAAGUACCCCGCCUGGGGAGUACGGCCGCAAGGCUAAAACUCAAAGGAAUUGACGGGGCCCCGCACAAGCGGCGGAGCAUGCGGAUUAAUUCGAUGCAACGCGUAGAACCUUACCUGGGUUUGACAUGGAUCGGGAGUGCUCAGAGAUGGGUGUGCCUCUUUUGGGGUCGGUUCACAGGUGGUGCAUGCCUGUCGUCAGCUCGUGUCGUGAGAUGUUGGGUUAAGUCCCGCAACGAGCGCAACCCUUGUUCACUGUUGCCAGCACGUUAUGGUGGGGACUCAGUGGAGACCGCCGGGGUCAACUCGGAGGAAGGUGGGGAUGACGUCAAGUCCUCAUGCCCCUUAUGUCCAGGGCUUCACGCAUGCUACAAUGGCUGGUACAGAGAGUGGCGAGCCUGUGAGGGUGAGCGAAUCUCGGAAAGCCGGUCUCAGUUCGGAUUGGGGUCUGCAACCCGACCUCAUGAAGUCGGAGUCGCUAGUAAUCGCAGAUCAGCAACGCUGCGGUGAAUACGUUCCCGGGGCU
rnacentral:rRNA from 1 species